AAGUUUGGACCCCCCUGCCAUAUGGUCUCCACAUCAAAGGUCCAUUUCCCUACGAAGACCAUGCAUCCUGCCCAUCAACCAAUGGCCUCAGCAGCCAAGUUUGAUCACUCUAUGGAGGCUGUACACCCCUCCCAUCCCCACACCGCUGGCCCAUCACCAAAUGUCCACACCUAUGGUCCUUCACCCGGCGUACACAAUAGCUUGCUACCUGAAUCCACCUGAGAAUAAAAAGGCAGCUUUCCUGGCACCAGACAGGAGAGAUGCAGGCAACCCAUCUAUUGAGGACACUAUCUGUUAUCAACCACAGGCAGAAAAAUCAUGGACGCCAUGUGAUGGAAAAAAUGUGGGCAGAAAAAGAAGGAAUUGAAGAAGUCCUCUUGAAAAUAGAUCCGGUCCAAGUCAGAGUACUUCAAACUCUCUGCGACUUGGUUGGAGACAAAUACAGCGACGGCCCUCCUCAACAAUCGGGCCAGCAAGAGCUCUUUCCUGAGAGCGGCGUAUUCAUAUCAUUGUUCCGCCUUGCUGCCAUGAGACAUGCUGCAGAGCCCAAAUGUAUGCCUUUAUUUGGACCUCUUUUUUCUACGUGUCAAAAUGCUGUCCCUUUUUGACGCCCUGGAAACAAACCUGCAGGAACACCAAAGCGCAUCCUUAAGCGGAAAAAAGUGGAAGGAAUCCUUAGUAAGUUUUCCCAAACAGAGGGUGUUUUCAGGCCAAAAUUGGGUCACAAUAAUGAAAUAGAAGUUCAAUAUGAGAAAUGUUGAUCCCUUUUCGAUUACAGCAGACUGGAAGCAUAACUGAAUGUUACAUCAUUACAAUUUGUUAUCCACUCCAAACUAGCGUUAUGAUGAGCAAUAUAGUCUGAUGUCCAUCAACUUGAAGUGUGGUUGUGUGUAUUAAUGGUUUUGCGUAAAUGAAGGCUUUAAAGGGCAAUAAAAAAGCAUUAAAUGAGGCAUUUAAAAAAGGGAAUAUGAUUGUAGGACAUGGCGGACAGUCAAUAUGUCAAACGGUAAAGGAAAAUGAACUUAAGAAGGUUACAGUCGUUUCUUUUUUGAACUGCAUACAAGAGGUAUUGUAAGGUGGGAACACGACAAAAGCACUGCUUCAAUCAAGCAAAAUGAAACAUCAACUUUUCCAUUCUUUGGUCACUGUAGGCGUGUAGUCCUUAACUGUGACACCAUGUCAGGAUAAUGGAGAAGCUGAGCCGACACGGAGUCGUUUAUUUCAAU